rnacentral:rRNA from 1 species
UGGGAAUAUUGCACAAUGGGGGGAAACCCUGAUGCAGCGACGCCGCGUGAAGGAUGAAGUAUUUCGGUAUGUAAACUUCUAUCAGCAGGGAAGAAAAUGACGGUACCUGACUAAGAAGCCCCGGCUAACUACGUGCCAGCAGCCGCGGUAAUACGUAGGGGGCAAGCGUUAUCCGGAUUUACUGGGUGUAAAGGGAGCGUAGACGGCAUGGCAAGUCUGAAGUGGAAGGCAGGGCUCAACCCCUGGACUGCUUUGGAAACUGUUAAGCUAGAGUGUCGGAGAGGCAAGUGGAAUUCCUAGUGUAGCGGUGAAAUGCGUAGAUAUUAGGAGGAACACCAGUGGCGAAGGCGGCUUGCUGGACGAUGACUGACGUUGAGGCUCG